AAGAAAAAUUAAUAAAAUGUUUGUUUAUUAUAAAAAAUAAGAAAAAAUGUAAAAUUAAAUUGUAAUUAUACGCACAUGGUACUAACAUCAAUCAAUAAUUAUUUUUACAAAAUAAAGUUGUAUUAAGAGAUUGUAUUUAAAAUUCUCAAAAUGGAAUCCCAAUCUAUAUACCCUCAUUCUGCUACAUUAUUUGCUGCAAUAUGUGCUUGUUUAUUUAUUGUUGUUGGAAUUUUCGGAAACCUUAUAACAAUGUUUGCUCUAAUGAGAUCGCCAAAGAUAAGAUGUCAUGCAACUACAGCCUUCGUUCUCUCAUUAUGUAUUUCCGAUUUGCUUUUCUGUUCUUUUAGUUUGCCAUUGACAGCAGUUCGUUUUUUUAAAGAGAGACUUAUCUGCAAU
rnacentral:misc_RNA from 1 species